AUGGAAGAGUACAAGGGGAAACUUGUCAUGGCAGAUCAACGGAACUGGUUGCUAUGUUUUGAGUAUGUAUGCAACGGGAGUCUUGAUAAUCACAUUACCGAUGCAACUUGUGGACUUAAUUGGAGGAAUCGGUAUCAAAUAAUCAGAGGAUUGUCUGAGGGUUUAGUUCUUCUCCGUGAGAAGGGAAUUCUUCACUUGGACCUGAAGCCAGCUAAUAUACUGUUAGAUGGUCACCUGUUACCCAAAAUUGCUGAUUUUGGUCUAUCAAGAUGCCUCACUCAAACGCAGACCUAUGUUAUUACUAAAAACAUAGCUGGAACAAUGGGAUAUAUGGAUCCAGAGUACCUCAGAUCAGGCCAAAUUGGAUUCUCAUCAGACGUGUAUAGCCUUGGCGUUAUAAUCAUGGAGAUACUGACAGGAGUGAGGCAAUAUCACAAAGAUGAGCAUGCAGUUGAAAGAUGGAUGAGUCGAUUGGGAGUAUCAGAGGGGGACAUGCAAUUAGAACAAGUGAGAGUAUGCAGUGAGAUAGCUAUAGAGUGCAUGGACUUGGUCCCAGAGAAGAGACCAGAUGCAUGCUAUAUAAUUGAUAGGCUUGAUCAAAUUGAGGGUGCUGACAAAUCGCAUGAAACUGGCAUCAACAAUUCAUUGAUUGAGCUGCAGGUAAGUUCACCAAGGGAACAAUCAGGAGAAAGAGUUGGAAAGCUUGCAGGCGAGAGCCACCAAAACGCAGAUAUGAAGGAACAGUUGGAGAUACUGCAAGAUGUUGCAUCAAAUCUUGGAAGGCUUCAUUUCCAGGAAGGCCAACAGGGUGAGCAAGAUACAAUACAACAUGUCAACCGCCAUGGCGCAAGUAAUUCUAGCUCUAUCUCUACUGGGUUGAACGAGUUGAACAUUUUGGACAUCUACAUCAGAACAGCCCACAAGAUUUUUGAUAGGAACAACAGGCGUUCAUUGGAACAGACACAUUUUAUAAAUAUCUUCAGCAUGCAGAAGCUCAGGCCAAUAAUAAGGAAUGAGAAUCUCAUCAGAGAAGGUUUCUUCACUAAAGUUUACAAAGGCGUUGUUGAUAAUGUACUGGUUGCAGUGGAGCAAACGUUUGAUGUUGAUAACAAGGACUUAGGAGAUGAAGUCAUCAUCCAGUCUCAAAUCAGCCACAAGAACAUUGCUUGGUUCAUAGGUUGUUGCCUGGACAUUGAUAACCCCAUUCUAGUUUAUGAGUUCCCCCCCAGAGGAAACCUUCAUGACAUUCUUCACAGCAACAGUAAGAUCCCCCUCAACUUGGAUGUGCGUCUAAAUAUUGCUGCAGAAUCAGCACAAGGUCUAGCUUAUCUGCAUUCACAAGCUCGUAUCAGAAUCCUGCAUGGUGAUGUCCAACCGGAAAAUAUACUCUUGGAUGAGAACUUUAUGCCAAAGAUCGCAGGCUUUGGCCUAUCAAAAUUGAUUAUGGGAGAUAAGGAGCACACCGGUGACACGAGUUAUAUGGAUCCAGUGUACCUGCAAACAGGUCGGCUGACCUCGAAAAGUGAUGUGUACAGUUUUGGAAUUGUGAUCUUGGAGGUCAUUAGCAGGAAGAAGGCCACUCAUUCUGAUAAUAACAGCCUAUUGAGGAGUUUCCUUCAAGUUCACAAAGAAGGGAAGAAAGCAACCGAGUUGUUUGACAAGGAAAUUGCGCUAACAGAAGAAGAUUUGGAGCUCCUUGACUAUCUUGCAGAGAUUGCUGUGGAAUGUCUUAACAUGAACGUGGAUCAUAGACCCACGAUGACAGAAGUUGCAGAACGCCUUCUCAUACUAAAUCGUUCUGGUAGGUUACAUGCACGACAUACAAGUGCUGACUACUCAGAGGAAACUGACAUUAGCGGUUUAUUUGUUGAGCAACAGAAAGUAGGUCAUUUACCACGGGCAGUGCAAGAUACUGGCCGUCAUGACGGAGGAAAUUCUAGUGGGUUCUUCAAUUUGAACAAUUUGGGCAUUUUCAAUUGGAAAGGACGCAGAAAUAUCAAUAGGAACAACAUUCAUGCAUUAGAAAUGUCACAUUUUAUAAAGCUCUUCAGAAAGGAGGAGCUCAAGCCAAUAAUAAAGAAGAUCAAUUUGAUUGGAAAAGGUGCCUUCGGUGAAGUUUACAAGGGUGCUGUUGGUAACACACUGGUUGUGGUAAAGAAACCGAUUGGUUCUUGUGCGCUAGAGAAUGCACAAUAUCAAAAUCAGGUCAUCAACAUGUCUCAAGUCAGCCACAGGAAUAUCGUUAGGCUCAUAGGUUGUUGCCUAGAUGUAGAUAUCCCCAUUCUAGUGUACGAGUUCCUUUCCAAUGGAGACCUUGAUGAAAUUCUUCACUGUGGCAGCAGGGUGCCUCUCAAUUUGGAUCUCCGUCUAUCUAUUAUUGCAGAAUCAGCACAGGCCCUAGCUUAUCUGCAUUCACAAGCUCGUAUCAGAAUCCUGCAUGGUGAUGUCAAACCGCGAAAUAUACUCUUGGACGAUAACUUUAUACCAAAGAUCACAGACUUUGGUAUAUCGAGGUUGAUUGCGCGAGAUAAGGAUCACACUGAUUGCGUCAUCGGUGAAAGAAAUUAUAUGGAUCCAGUUUACAUGCAAACAGGCAGGCUGACCUUGAAAAGUGAUGUCUACAGUUUUGGAGUUGUGAUCCUGGAGGUCAUUAGCAGGAAGAAGGCCACUCAUUAUGAUAACAACAGCCUAGUGUGGAGUUUCCUUGAAGUUCACAAAGAAGGGAAGAAAGCAACUGAGCUGUUUGACAAGGAGAUUGCAGUAACAACAAAGGAUUUGGAGCUCCUUGACUGUCUUGCAGAGAUCGCCGUGGAAUGUCUUAACCUUGAUGUGGAUCAAAGGCCCACGAUGGCAGAUGUCGCGGAGCGCCUUGUCAUACUGAAUCAAUCUCGUAGGUCGCAAGCUGUUUAG
rnacentral:rRNA from 1 species